rnacentral:rRNA from 1 species
UACGUAGGGGGCAAGCGUUAUCCGGAAUUACUGGGUGUAAAGGGUGAGUAGGCGGCAUGGUAAGCCAGAUGUGAAAGCCCGGGGCUCAACCCCGGGACUGCAUUUGGAACUGUGCUGCUAGAGUGUCGGAGAGGCAGGCGGAAUUCCUAGUGUAGCGGUGAAAUGCGUAGAUAUUAGGAGGAACACCAGUGGCGAAGGCGGCCUGCUGGACGAUGACUGACGUUGAGGCGCGAAAGCGUGGGGAGCAAACAGG